rnacentral:tRNA from 1 species
CCUUUCGAUGCUGGCAGAGCAUUAGGCUUAUAACCCAAGGAGCGGGGUUCGAAUCCCACCGGAGGAACCA